GGGUUGUGAGGUUAAGCGACUAAGCGUACACGGUGGAUGCCCUGGCAGUCAGAGGCGAUGAAGGACGUGCUAAUCUGCGAUAAGCGUCGGUAAGGUGAUAUGAACCGUUAUAACCGGCGAUUUCCGAAUGGGGAAACCCAGUGUGUUUCGACACACUAUCAUUAACUGAAUCCAUAGGUUAAUGAGGCGAACCGGGGGAACUGAAACAUCUAAGUACCCCGAGGAAAAGAAAUCAACCGAGAUUCCCCCAGUAGCGGCGAGCGAACGGGGAGCAGCCCAGAGCCUGAAUCAGUGUGUGUGUUAGUGGAAGCGUCUGGAAAGGCGCGCGAUACAGGGUGACAGCCCCGUACACAAAAAUGCACAUGCUGUGAGCUCGAUGAGUAGGGCGGGACACGUGGUAUCCUGUCUGAAUAUGGGGGGACCAUCCUCCAAGGCUAAAUACUCCUGACUGACCGAUAGUGAACCAGUACCGUGAGGGAAAGGCGAAAAGAACCCCGGCGAGGGGAGUGAAAAAGAACCUGAAACCGUGUACGUACAAGCAGUGGGAGCACGCUUAGGCGUGUGACUGCGUACCUUUUGUAUAAUGGGUCAGCGACUUAUAUUCUGUAGCAAGGUUAACCGAAUAGGGGAGCCGAAGGGAAACCGAGUCUUAACUGGGCGUUAAGUUGCAGGGUAUAGACCCGAAACCCGGUGAUCUAGCCAUGGGCAGGUUGAAGGUUGGGUAACACUAACUGGAGGACCGAACCGACUAAUGUUGAAAAAUUAGCGGAUGACUUGUGGCUGGGGGUGAAAGGCCAAUCAAACCGGGAGAUAGCUGGUUCUCCCCGAAAGCUAUUUAGGUAGCGCCUCGUGAAUUCAUCUCCGGGGGUAGAGCACUGUUUCGGCAAGGGGGUCAUCCCGACUUACCAACCCGAUGCAAACUGCGAAUACCGGAGAAUGUUAUCACGGGAGACACACGGCGGGUGCUAACGUCCGUCGUGAAGAGGGAAACAACCCAGACCGCCAGCUAAGGUCCCAAAGUCAUGGUUAAGUGGGAAACGAUGUGGGAAGGCCCAGACAGCCAGGAUGUUGGCUUAGAAGCAGCCAUCAUUUAAAGAAAGCGUAAUAGCUCACUGGUCGAGUCGGCCUGCGCGGAAGAUGUAACGGGGCUAAACCAUGCACCGAAGCUGCGGCAGCGACGCUUAUGCGUUGUUGGGUAGGGGAGCGUUCUGUAAGCCUGCGAAGGUGUGCUGUGAGGCAUGCUGGAGGUAUCAGAAGUGCGAAUGCUGACAUAAGUAACGAUAAAGCGGGUGAAAAGCCCGCUCGCCGGAAGACCAAGGGUUCCUGUCCAACGUUAAUCGGGGCAGGGUGAGUCGACCCCUAAGGCGAGGCCGAAAGGCGUAGUCGAUGGGAAACAGGUUAAUAUUCCUGUACUUGGUGUUACUGCGAAGGGGGGACGGAGAAGGCUAUGUUGGCCGGGCGACGGUUGUCCCGGUUUAAGCGUGUAGGCUGGUUUUCCAGGCAAAUCCGGAAAAUCAAGGCUGAGGCGUGAUGACGAGGCACUACGGUGCUGAAGCAACAAAUGCCCUGCUUCCAGGAAAAGCCUCUAAGCAUCAGGUAACAUCAAAUCGUACCCCAAACCGACACAGGUGGUCAGGUAGAGAAUACCAAGGCGCUUGAGAGAACUCGGGUGAAGGAACUAGGCAAAAUGGUGCCGUAACUUCGGGAGAAGGCACGCUGAUAUGUAGGUGAAGUCCCUCGCGGAUGGAGCUGAAAUCAGUCGAAGAUACCAGCUGGCUGCAACUGUUUAUUAAAAACACAGCACUGUGCAAACACGAAAGUGGACGUAUACGGUGUGACGCCUGCCCGGUGCCGGAAGGUUAAUUGAUGGGGUUAGCCGCAAGGCGAAGCUCUUGAUCGAAGCCCCGGUAAACGGCGGCCGUAACUAUAACGGUCCUAAGGUAGCGAAAUUCCUUGUCGGGUAAGUUCCGACCUGCACGAAUGGCGUAAUGAUGGCCAGGCUGUCUCCACCCGAGACUCAGUGAAAUUGAACUCGCUGUGAAGAUGCAGUGUACCCGCGGCAAGACGGAAAGACCCCGUGAACCUUUACUAUAGCUUGACACUGAACAUUGAGCCUUGAUGUGUAGGAUAGGUGGGAGGCUUAGAAGUGUGGACGCCAGUCUGCAUGGAGCCGACCUUGAAAUACCACCCUUUAAUGUUUGAUGUUCUAACGUUGACCCGUAAUCCGGGUUGCGGACAGUGUCUGGUGGGUAGUUUGACUGGGGCGGUCUCCUCCUAAAGAGUAACGGAGGAGCACGAAGGUUGGCUAAUCCUGGUCGGACAUCAGGAGGUUAGUGCAAUGGCAUAAGCCAGCUUGACUGCGAGCGUGACGGCGCGAGCAGGUGCGAAAGCAGGUCAUAGUGAUCCGGUGGUUCUGAAUGGAAGGGCCAUCGCUCAACGGAUAAAAGGUACUCCGGGGAUAACAGGCUGAUACCGCCCAAGAGUUCAUAUCGACGGCGGUGUUUGGCACCUCGAUGUCGGCUCAUCACAUCCUGGGGCUGAAGUAGGUCCCAAGGGUAUGGCUGUUCGCCAUUUAAAGUGGUACGCGAGCUGGGUUUAGAACGUCGUGAGACAGUUCGGUCCCUAUCUGCCGUGGGCGCUGGAGAACUGAGGGGGGCUGCUCCUAGUACGAGAGGACCGGAGUGGACGCAUCACUGGUGUUCGGGUUGUCAUGCCAAUGGCACUGCCCGGUAGCUAAAUGCGGAAGAGAUAAGUGCUGAAAGCAUCUAAGCACGAAACUUGCCCCGAGAUGAGUUCUCCCUGACCCUUUAAGGGUCCUGAAGGAACGUUGAAGACGACGACGUUGAUAGGCCGGGUGUGUAAGCGCAGCGAUGCGUUGAGCUAACCGGUACUAAUGAACCGUGAGGCUUAACCUUACAACGCCGAAGCUGUU
rnacentral:rRNA from 1 species